UAGCUCAUACAUACAGGCCAAGUUUGGAAAGCUACCCAUUCCUGCUUUAAGUGUUCCCUAUCUUGGAACAGCAGAGCAAAGAACUGGUUUGUACAUCAACAACACAGUGUGGUGACUGAACUUUCAGCAACAACUUCUAAAUGCCACCCUAGUUCUGGCUCCGGCAACCUGAAGAAGCCUGGAGGUGCUGUGCUGUAAACGACGGAAGGUCACCCUGAUGGAUGCUGGGAUGUCGGGUGGCAAAGUGGACGGUGGCGGCAGCGGGGCUGCCGUCUCGCUGCGGUCUGAGACCAGGGAAGGCGUGGCACAAAGAGAGGAAGAGCAGGAAGAAGAAGGGGAUGAAGAUCUCCGAGAUGGUGGGAUCCCCUUCUUUGUGAACCGAGGGGGGCUUCCUAUCAAUGAGGCCACCUGGGAACGGAUGUGGAAACAUGUGGCCAAGAUCCAUCCUGAGGGAGAAGGAGUCGCUCUGCGGAUCCGGGGAGCCACGGACCUACCGAAGAUUCCCAUACCAAGUGUGCCUAUGCUCCAGCCGUCCACUCCUAUCCCUGAGCGCCUGGAAGCGAUACAGCGCUACAUCAGGGAGCUUCAGUACAAUCAUACUGGGACACAGUUCUUUGAAAUCAAGAAGAGCAGGCCUUUGACUGGGCUGAUGGAUCUGGCCAAAGAAAUGACGAAAGAGGCCCUGCCAAUCAAGUGUCUGGAGGCUGUGAUCCUGGGAAUGUAUCCUUUCAUCUUAGAACAUUACCUCACCAACAACAUGCCAACACUGGAGCGUUUCCCCAUCAGCUUCAAAACCUACUUCUCAGGGAACUACUUCCGCCAUAUUGUGCUGGGAGUGAACUUUGGGGGCCGCUAUGGGGCACUGGGCAUUAGUCGGCGUGAGGAUCUCAUGUACAAGGCACCCACCUUCCGGACACUGAGCGAACUGAUCUUUGACUAUGAGGAGGCGUACCGCCGCUGCUGGCACACCCUAAAAAAGGUGAAGCUCGGCCAGUGUGUGUCUCACGACCCGCACAGCGUGGAGCAGAUCGAGUGGAAGCAUUCCAUCUUGGAUGCGGAGAAGCUGGGCCGUGAGGAAUUCCGCAAGGAGCUUGAGAGGCGUUCCCGUGACAUGAGGCUAAAGAUAAGUAAAGGAACAGGGCCACCAUCACCCACCAAGGAUAGGAAGAAGGACGUCUCAUCCCCACAGCGAAGCCAGUCCAGUCCGCAUCGUCGCAACAGCCGGACUGAGAGGCGGCCUUCUGGAGAGAAGAAACCUACUGAGCCCAAAGCCAUGCCAGAUUUGAACGGCUAUCAAAUCAGAGUGUAAAAAGUCUGUUGCCGUGUGUUGGGCCAUGGGUUAGGCAGCAUUCGGACUGAUUCUGUCAGCAGGGUGCACAGUGUGGAAGGAAAAACGGGGUGGGAAGUACUGGCUUUCUGAAAGGUACUUCUUCCUGCCAUGUUGCCCACCCCGAACAGUGUUCUUCUGGUGAGAGGGUAUCCUCUUCUCUGAAUACAUGGGGAGAAUUGUUUAAAACCAGGAACUAAACAGAUUUCUUAAGUAGCAGAUCUGCCAGUUGGUUCAGUGUUGUACAGUAAUGAUAGUGAAAGGAAACUUUCACAGAGUAACAGUGAGGCUACUGUCCAUGCAGCUCAUGGGCUCAUGAAGAGCUGGGUUAAAUUUUAUGGCCUUUUCAUGGGCAUUUCUUUCUUUCCUUUGCUUCUGAAGGACUCGAGCUAGCAUGAGCCUUGUGAGGGGGAGGUGGUGGGAAGCUGGGCGGGGCUAGAAUUAAAAACAAAACAAAACUCCUCACCCUGUGGAAGAUUUUCUGAACUUGUACCUUUGGAGAAUUUUAAUAUUUUUACUAAGAUGGAGGAGAUAUCUUUGCAACUGCCCUAAAAUCACCAACUUGAUCCUUGUGCUUCUGUUUCAUGUGGUGGCGUGCCUUGCGUGUCAUGCAAUUCCUGCAGCAAGCUGGUGGGUUUGAGCUGCGGGAAGUGAGCCUUUGUAGGAGACCCUCCGGAGCAGAGCCUUCUGACUAGACACUGUAAUCCGGGCUGCAGAGACUCAGGCCCUGAAGGGGGCCAAAUCAGGUCAUGGCCACAUGCCCUUUCCUCCAGCCACCAACUGUUCGGUAUUUCCCUGCUUUUGGGCAGUUUUUUCUCCAUUCUAAAACUUUGACAUGUCUCUCUUAAGACUUAGUUAUUGGCAAUAAAAAAACCCUAAAAUAUCCUGAUAUUUUAGGCAUUUUGAUCACAACCUGUUUGCCUGCAGCCUCACCCACCCUGGGAAUGCAGCUCCCAAGAACUUCUCUGGAAUGGAGUGGCACUCUUGGACUGAAAGAGGUUCUGUGCUCCUGCCAUAAGCAUUUCUUCUUUUUGGUGGAAAAUGUGUCUUCUUCAUUUUCUAGCAACACAACUCCUGCUCCUUCUCGCUACCAAGGCGAGUGUUCAUUCAUGUGAUAUGCAGAUCACAUUUGAAGGAUUCCUAGGACAUGGUUCAGAGUCUUUUAGUAGUAUAGUGUGUGGGUAUUAGUACAUGAAGGGGGCUCAGGCCAUACCACGUCUUGGUAUUUCUCUUUUGGGCCUCUACUUCUAGCUUUGCAAAAUGCUUAGAAGUUGGGCGGUUUAUAUAAUUGCCAAGGAAGGUGCCCCGAAAAAUACAGUCUGGAAUUGCAGAGGGGCAAAGCUAAAAUAUAAAGUGGGUUAGUUUGGCUGCAUGAAACCUGCUCUGUAACAAGGAAUGUGGGGUGGGGGGGUCUUCCCAGCAGGUAAAGAAAAUGGAGAGGCUGUUGUGAAGAAUCAUAGUCUUCCUCAUUCUGGUCUAUUGGCUCACUGUUGUUGGGACCAAUUGGCUACAUUGUUCUACAAUGGCUGGGGAAGCUGAAGGGAUCCUGUAUUAUGGAAAAGGGACUUUAAAAGAAGUGUGCAGAAGACAGACUGGGAUCUGCUGAUGCCAAGUCCUGCAACAGAAACAGGAAGAGCAAAGGUGAUACUCAUGAGCUGGUGAUGAUCUGUUGGUUGUUGAGAUUAGCCUUAAGUUUGGGCCAUGCUUUAGAUCUGGAAAAGCUUGAACCAGGCUCUAGAUUGAAUGCAAAGAAAGAUGUUGAAGAAUGGAUGCCGGUCACUGAGUUGAGCCCUUGAAGUGAACUAAUCACUGGCACGAGGAGUCUCUCUUCAAAAGGAUGCCAUUAUAAAGCAGCUGAACCUUGUUGUUGUUAGUGGUGAUCAACCACAACUAAUAAAGGAAACAUAAAACACAAUUAGAACAUGAGUUUUUGCCUAGUGUGUAACGGGUCCUGCCUGUUUCAGAAAAGAAAAGAGAAAGAGUGGUCUAGCUAUAGGCAGAGAGAAGAAGUUGGCUGGAAAGUUGUAAAGGCAGAGUCACAACUAGUAGUAGUGUUGAGGACCAGGGCUACUUAGUGCAGGAAAAAAUUAGUUUAAGAAUCUUACGGAGAAGAAAUGUGGCAACUGUUCACAUGCUGCGCUGAACUUUUAAAACUAAAGGGAGGCAAACGGUGGCCCUCCCUCUAGUUUUAAAACUGUUUUAGGAAAAAGAGUGCCCCGAUUGUAGUAGAAUUCACUGACAGAAUAGGCAAAUGCAGGAAUGUAUAGAAUCCCCUUCCCUAAAUGCUUUCCCCUGCCAUGAGGUCAGCCAAGCUUGUGGAGGGCCACGAGUUGCCCAUGUAAGUCACCGUUCCCUCACAGUAACAGCAGAGAACUGCAUUCAUUAAACCCACAUUGUGUCUGGGCACUUGCGUGUACUACUUCAAAGUGAACCCUCUGUCUUAGAGGUGAGUUUCGUCCAGAAUACCUCAAAAAUGUAACGACACUGAAUAUAUUAAAACUGAGAGGGGGUUGUGCACUGCUGCAGUUUACUUCACAGUUCCAGGUUGUGCUGAGAAAGCUGAUGAUGCGUCAGUAAGGAUGGACUGGAGAACUGAAUAGUAUGAUCAGCAGCCCCGUGUGCAGAGGGGGAAUUGAAUGUUCAAAUGCAUCCGUACCUACGCUUGAAAAUUAGCUUAUCAGCAAGAAGGUUGCUCCAUCUUCCCUUUGAAGGACUAAGCCUGACCAUGAGCGAAGUGUGUAUGGUAUUCUACUGCCACGAGCAGAAGCAUCACAGAGGAGCAGUGCAGACAGCAGUGCUGGGGGGAAAUCAGGUGUCUGAAGAGGAUGUCAGGAACAAGCUGGUGCUAAUGGGACAUGUGGGUUUGCUUCCAACACAAAUGGGUAUCUCUGUCACUGGAAUAUUCUUGCUCGAGUGUCUGAAUUUGUGUGCAUUUGGAGUCUCUUGUGUGGCUGAAAUACCAAUAGGAAAAAUAGGAAGAGACUGGAAGAGGGCAGACAUAGUCAUGCUUCCCACAACCUUGAAAGGAAAGGAAGGAGCUGCACACACUGUAGUAGCAUGGCAGGAACAAAAAGCUUCACCUCUGAGUAGCCUGCAAGGAGAAGUGUGGUGAAAGGGUGGUAUGAAGUACAGGUUUUUUCUCCCAUGAUUAUUUCUAUUGGUGAAAUGCUGCUCCCUCCAAAGCUAACACAGCAGUUGAUGCAAUGGUGUUUUAAACUGAGCUGUGACUUCACUUGCACUGUAGUUGUGUCAGUAUUAGCAGGUCUACUUUAUAACAAGGCAAAUGUUGUGUGUCCACUAUAUUUGCUGUUGGUUUUUUGACCUUCCUUUUGACUUCACAUGGCCAACUAGUUACCUGUUUCUGUGGUGUAAUGUCCAUUCUCACUGUCUGUACAUCUGCCUGGUCAAUAUCUCCGUUCGUGCCUGUCCCAUUCUUGAGUAUCAAUCAGCCUGCAUCAUGAAUGGACAAACUCACUGGAUCUGGUCAGUGCAGCCAACCCUGAUUCAGGGGAACUUCAUCUCUGCUAACGCAGUGCUGAGCUCCUGCCUGUUCUGCCUUCGCACGCAGCCUUGUGUCAGAGAAGUCCUGUGUGCUGCAGAAGUGCUGGAGAAGGUCUUGGGACAUACAUGCUGGACCAAUGGGGUACUGCCUUUCACGAACUGUAUAUCACAAUAUACCUCCCUGUAGCUGCCUACUGUGGGGAAACGUGUGUUCUGAUUGGGCAGCUUUCAUGCUGUUGCUGAUUUCUCAUUGAGGGACCUCUGCUAACCCUGAGGUUCCUUGGAACAGUUUUCAGAUUUUUAAACCUGCCUUAGAGGGCUACAGAGACCCAUUGUAUCUAUUGCCCCCAGCCUUCUGUGCAGGGCUAGGUUUACAUUUGCCCUCUGUUGAGAUAUAUACAAGGAAUUUGUGACUCAUUUCCUUGUCAUUGGCUGCUGUUCCUGCCCUGUUCAUAGGCCAGAAAGUCAGCUAAGCUGGGCUCCUCAGGGAAUUCUCAAUGAAGCAUGAUCUCAGUAGCAGAUGUCUCAUUUAUCCAUCAACCACCCCCCCCCCAUUCGUUGACCACCUGGCUCAAACAACUCUGACUGCCUCCAAGCUCUGUGGAGCAGAAAUUCUCUGCCUGAUUUGUCAGGAACAAGAUGGUGCUAAUGGGACUUGUGGGUUUGCUUCCAACACAAGCAGUAUUAAAUGCUGGUUUUAGCAGCUAGAUUUUGUUUUCAGAGCCAUUAGCAUAAAAGUAUUGUAUUGAAAACAGCUGGUUUUCUUUCUUGGCCUAUCAUGUGUGUCUUUUGUGUAAACUGGUGCCACUUGUGGAUCUGUGACCUUAAGUAGACACCACACAGACCUUUCUUAGAUUUAGUUUUUCUUGCUUCCCAGUUCUGUAUUUCUCCCCAAUUCUUUUUCAGAGUAAAACAACCAACCAACCAAA